rfam:Schistosoma curassoni strain Dakar, Senegal genome assembly, scaffold: SCTD_scaffold0005304
GCACUGCUGAGGAGUCCCACAACAGGACGAGACGGCCGUCCAGUGC